rnacentral:rRNA from 1 species
CCCUUAGAUGUUCUGGGCCGCACACGCGCUACACUGAAGGAGGCAGCGUGUACUCCUGGAUCGAAAGAGUUGGGUAACCCGCGAAUCUCCUUCGUGCUAGGGAUUGAGGUUUGCAAUUAUCCUUCAUGAACGAGGAAUUCCCAGUAAGUGCAAGUCAUAAGCUUGCGCUGACUACGUCCCUGCCCUUUGUACACACCGCCCGUCGCUACUACCGAUUGAAUGAUUUAGUGAGGACUUCGGACUGGGACCGAUGCGGCUUUCGGGCUGCGUCGGUAUUCUGGAAAGAUGUCCAAACUGUAUCAUUUAGAGGAAGUAAAAGUCGUAACA